GCUGGGAGAAGUGGACCUGUGCACACAACUGCCUCUCGCUGGGCUAUCUUUAGGCACAAUCCUGGGGUCUCCAACCAACCCCACCCUGCUGACUCUUGGAACCCUUAAUCCCCAACUCUUCCUGACAUGCUGCUGUGGACUUUACCAGCCACAGGGUACCACACGCCUUCACCUAGGAUUAGGACAGAGCUGAGGGUCCCCUCACAGGACCACCAAGCCUCGUGGAUCGGGACUUCACAUUCGUUCCGCACUAGAAGUGCAUCUCAUUCACACUCACACUCAUUCACACCAGAAUCUCCCCGAACCCAACCCAAGGCAAGAUACGGUAAAGUUUCCCUUACCUCGGUCUGUGCACGGCUUCCCGGUUAUCAGCAAUAAUCCCAGUGCCUGUUCCCGAUCCGGGCUGGACUAUAUGUGGGCUGUGUCUGUGUAUGUUUGUGCUGGCCUCCCUUCUCCCCAGAGCUUCACAGAGCCUGUCUUUAACAGUCUCAGUCCUUUGCCGGCUGUACCGAGACAACCCACUACCCCCAACUGGACCGCUGAAAUCAGCGGGGUGCACCUUCCUGUCUGUGGUGGCGAGAAAUCUUUGGCAGGCGAGCCCCCAAAUUGUGAGAAAAAUCUCAAAUAAUUUUCUUCAGACAGGCUCUUCUGUGAAGCCAUUUUAUUCGCGAUUGCAAUGGCGGGUGUCCUGUCAAUCAGGACCGCAUUUUAGUAAACAAAUCAUAGUCUUUUAUUCUCUCUUACCCGACACCUGAUCACCUCCCCUGUUUCCUCAUUGGCUGAGUACUACAGGUUCACAAGCUACUCAACGCUCCUCUAUACCAUAUAUGUACAAUUUUUCUUUUUUUCAACCCUUUAAUUUCUCCUUUCUUAUGUUUCGAGAACUUGUGAUCUUUGUUUUACUGUUCUCACACUGCUCAUCCUGUUUUUCUCAAGCUUCUACCUUGUUUUGGAACUGUGAGGCCUCCUACUGUCUACUUAUCUGCUUAACAUUUCUCCUUAUUAUGACUACACAACUACCUUGGACUACAGAAAAAUAAUUCUCUACUGCAAAAACACAACUUAGUUUCUCACAUUCUUAAAUAAUUACUUAACCUUAGGGAAAAAAAGAAACACAUUAUACAGACUUAGCAAUAGAAGUAUGUUGGUUACCCAUGGACAUUCAAAGUACUCAAAAUCUACUGUAAUUAGUCCACAGGGAAAAAAAGAUGAAGUACCAUUCCUGAUAUUAUUCAUAGAUGGACUUCCAGAGGAGGAAAAGAAGACAGUGUAAUUCUGAAUACUCUCAAAAAGAUAAUUUCCAGGAGACCAAAAUGAAAGCAAUGCAGGGCCUGAAUACCAGAUUAAAAUCAAGGCUAGUGCUUUACAACACAGCAAAUUGAAAAAAAUAAACCCAGAUUUUAGUACACUCUCUGAUCAGAUAUAGAGAAGAAAGGAGAACACGGCAAGAAUUACAAAAGACAAGAUCACACACAAAAAUGUUAACGGCAAACCAAAAAGGGCGCCAAAAAGGGCGCCAAAAAGGACUGUGGUGGUUUUACUUUGCUGGCUAAAAUCCAUGUACAGGGGACCCUUCCUAUGAACAUCCAGGCCAGUACCGGCAGUCAGGGUGCUAGGAGGAGCUGUGCCUCAGUACCAACCACUUCCGAAGCAGACUGAACUCCUUCAUAUGCUGCCAAUAUCUCCUUUUUGUUUGGAGUGUAGUGGGCCUUGGAUCCUCUCUAUCCCUGACUCCAAAACCUGUGGGAAAGGAAUUUGCAGGUGGCUUUGCACUUUUUCACACAUCCCUGAAUUAGAGAUAAUGAAGAAAUAAGCGUUAGAAACAAAAACUUAAGUAAGGUCAAGGUAAAUUAACUUGGCUACAACGUUAAAGAUGAGCUUUGUGCAGUGGCCAAUUGCUGGCUGGCUUGAGGCCCGUGUCUGGGGGUCUCUAACCAAUUGUAUGACCGAUUUGGGUGCGUGGACAGCGCAUGGAGCUAUGGGGAAAGUACAUGUAGUGGUCAAAAAUGGCAGUAAAGGCCUUCUGUUCAAAAGCUAUCAGGAGUCUGUCUUUCAUCCCUUCAAAAACCCUAGGGGUCGACCUCAAGUUUCCCAGAGCUCUUUCUGCCAGAGGCUUCAGGUGGGGCCAUUCUCCCUGGCUGCGGUGUAGAGCACAUUCUUUACAUC